GACUCGAUUGGGGUAAAAAGUGAGAUCUGUAGUGGUAAUGGAGGGCACGGGCCGACAGGCUUGAGCCUGAAACCCACCACUGAUCUCCUUAAGGGUGCGAGGGCAACGCCCCCUCGGUAUGGAUCAGUAUAAAUAUUGUGAUAUUCUACCAUUUGCAUCAGAGUUGUGAGAUAUUCGGGAAAUACAUUGUGGUUUGAGAGUUCUGAGUGAUUGU
rnacentral:misc_RNA from 1 species